rnacentral:other from 1 species
GAUGUUCUGAUCUGUUCGCCAGUGACGUCUGUCCUCGAGCCGAUAAAUUUAUAUCAGGUCUUCAUUCUCACUGAUGUUGUGCAUGUCCGACAGGUAUCGGAAAGCCUGAUUUGGUGACUGAACACCGCCUUGAACCUCAGGGUUCAAGGGCUACAGUUACAGCGGCAGUUAUUGGGCAUCA